rnacentral:rRNA from 1 species
AGAGUUUGAUCCUGGCUCAGGACGAACGCUGGCGGCGUGCCUAAUACAUGCAAGUCGAGCGAGCUUGCCUAGAUGAUUUUAGUGCUUGCACUAAAUGAAACUAGAUACAAGCGAGCGGCGGACGGGUGAGUAACACGUGGGUAACCUGCCCAAGAGACUGGGAUAACACCUGGAAACAGAUGCUAAUACCGAAUAACAACACUAGACGCAUGUCUAGAGUUUGAAAGAUGGUUCUGCUAUCACUCUUGGAUGGACCUGCGGUGCAUUAGCUAGUUGGUAAGGUAACGGCUUACCAAGGCAAUGAUGCAUAGCCGAGUUGAGAGACUGAUCGGCCACAUUGGGACUGAGACACGGCCCAAACUCCUACGGGAGGCAGCAGUAGGGAAUCUUCCACAAUGGACGAAAGUCUGAUGGAGCAACGCCGCGUGAGUGAAGAAGGGUUUCGGCUCGUAAAGCUCUGUUGGUAGUGAAGAAAGAUAGAGGUAGUAACUGGCCUUUAUUUGACGGUAAUUACUUAGAAAGUCACGGCUAACUACGUGCCAGCAGCCGCGGUAAUACGUAGGUGGCAAGCGUUGUCCGGAUUUAUUGGGCGUAAAGCGAGUGCAGGCGGUUCAAUAAGUCUGAUGUGAAAGCCUUCGGCUCAACCGGAGAAUUGCAUCAGAAACUGUUGAACUUGAGUGCAGAAGAGGAGAGUGGAACUCCAUGUGUAGCGGUGGAAUGCGUAGAUAUAUGGAAGAACACCAGUGGCGAAGGCGGCUCUCUGGUCUGCAACUGACGCUGAGGCUCGAAAGCAUGGGUAGCGAACAGGAUUAGAUACCCUGGUAGUCCAUGCCGUAAACGAUGA